ACCGCUACCACCGAGACCAGCAAUGUUGGUGCAAGAAGAAGAACUAGAUGAUAGAACUUGUCCUCUUUGCAGCGAUGUCAUCCAUUCAGACACACCUAUAGGCCUAAAUGCUUUUGCUAAUAUUAAGGUAUUUGGAGUGAUGAGAAUAAUGGAGACUAUUAUAAAAAAUAAUGAAAUGAAUCUUUUCAGGAUAUCCAUGUUUUUUUUUGUGUUCCUUUUUUUUGGUUGAGAUAGAGAGGGUCAGGCAAUUUUUG
rnacentral:lncRNA from 1 species